rnacentral:rRNA from 1 species
GAAUAUUGCACAAUGGGGGAAACCCUGAUGCAGCGACGCCGCGUGAGUGAAGAAGCGCCUCGGCGCGUAAAGCUCUGUCAGCAGGAACGAAAAUGACGGUACCUGACUAAGAAGCCCCGGCUAAUUACGUGCCAGCAGCCGCGGUAAUACGUAAGGGGCAAGCGUUAUCCGGAUUUACUGGGUGUAAAGGGAGCGUAGACGGCAGUGCAAGUCUGAUGUGAAAGCCCGGGGCUCAACCCCGGGACUGCAUUGGAAACUGUGCAGCUAGAGUGUCGGAGAGGUAAGUGGAAUUCCUAGUGUAGCGGUGAAAUGCGUAGAUAUUAGGAGGAACACCAGUGGCGAAGGCGGCUUACUGGACGAUAACUGACGUUGAGGCUCGAAAGCGUGGGGAGCAAACAG